UARAGUYUGAUCCUGGCUCAKAACRAAYGCUGGCGGCGUGCUUAACACAUGCAAGUCGGACGUGAUUCAGAGCUUGCUCUGAUGAAAGUGGCGCACGGGUGAGUAACGCGUGGAUAACCUGCCCUGGUAUCCGGAAUAACAUCUCGAARGGGGUGCUAAUACCGGAUAAGCCCACGGGAUCCUCGGAUUCUGCGGGAAAAGGUGGCCUCUAUUUAUAAGCUACCGUAUCAGGAUGGGUCCGCGUACCAUUAGCUAGUUGGUGGGGUAAUGGCCUACCAAGGCGACGAUGGUUAGCUGGUCUGAGAGGAUGAUCASCCACACUGGAACUGARACACGGUCCAGGCUCCUACGGGAGGCAGCAGUGGGGAAUUUUGCGCAAUGGGGGAAACCCUGACGCASC
rnacentral:rRNA from 1 species